ACGCGAAGAACUUACCAAGGCUUGACAUAUAGAGGAAACUUCUGGAAACAGUCGCCCCGCAAGGUCUCUAUACAGGUGGUGCAUGGUUGUCGUCAGCUCGUGUCGUGAGAUGUUGGGUUAAGUCCCGCAACGAGCGCAACCCUCGUUCUAUGUUGCCAGCACGUAAUGGUGGGAACUCAUGGGAUACUGCCGGGGUCAACUCGGAGGAAGGUGGGGAUGACGUCAAAUCAUCAUGCCCCUUAUGUCUUGGGCUUCACGCAUGCUACAAUGGCCGGUACAAAGGGCUGCAAUACCGUAAGGUGGAGCGAAUCCCAAAAAGCCGGUCCCAGUUCGGAUUGAGGUCUGCAACUCGACCUCAUGAAGUCGGAGUCGCUAGUAAUCGCAGAUCAGCAACGCUGCGGUGAAUACGUUCCCGGGUCUUGUACACACCG
rnacentral:rRNA from 1 species